rnacentral:rRNA from 1 species
UGGGGAAUCUUGGACAAUGGGCGCAAGCCUGAUCCAGCGACGCCGCGUGGGUGAUGAAGGCCCUCGGGUUGUAAAGCCCUUUCGCCGGGGACGAUGAUGACGGUACCCGGUGAAGAAGCACCGGCUAACUCCGUGCCAGCAGCCGCGGUAAGACGGAGGGUGCUAGCGUUGUUCGGAAUCACUGGGCGUAAAGGGCGCGUAGGCGGCUGUCCAAGUCGGGCGUGAAAGCCCGGGGCACAAUCGCGGAAUUGCGCACGAAACUGGGCGGCUUGAGGGCGGAAGAGGGGAGUGGAAUACCCAGUGUAGAGGUGCAAUUCGUAGAUAUUGGGUGGAACACCGGUGGCGACAGCGGCUCCCUGGUCCGGACCUGACGCUGAGGCGCGAAAGCGUGGGGAGCGAACAGGAUUAGAUACCCCCGUAGUCC